AAACUAUGUGGGUCAGAUAAAAGCUUCUAACUUCUCAUCUGAAAGGUUCAACUCCUUUCAUAGUUUU
rnacentral:tRNA from 1 species